GAGUUUGAUCCUGGCUCAGGAUGAACGCUGGCGAGAUGCCUUAUACAUGCAAGUCGUACGAGAGUUUUUAACUCAAGUGGCGGACGGGUGAGUAACACGUAAGAAUUUGCCUUUAGGAGGGGGACAACAACUGGAAACGGCUGCUAAUACCCCAUAUGCUUUCGAGUGAAAUGGAUUUUUCCGCCUAGAGGGAAGCUUGCGGCUGAUUAGCUUGUUGGUGAGGUAAUGGCUCACCAAGGCGACGAUCAGUAUCUGGUUUGAGAGGACGAUCAGACACACUGGAACUGAGACACGGUCCAGACUCCUACGGGAGGCAGCAGUAGGGAAUUUUCCGCAAUGGGCGAAAGCCUGACGGAGCAAUCUCGCGUGAGGGAUGACGGCCUAUGGGUUGUAAACCUCUUUUUUCAGGGAGGAAUCAAUGACGUGUACCUGAAGAAUAAGCAUCGGCUAACUCCGUGCCAGCAGCCGCGGUAAGACGGAGGAUGCAAGUGUUAUCCGGAAUCACUGGGCGUAAAGCGUCUGUAGGUGGUUUAAUAAGUCAACUGUUAAAUCUUGAAGCUCAACUUCAAAAUCGCAGUCGAAACUAUUAGACUAGAGUAUAGUAGGGGUAAAGGGAAUUUCCAGUGGAGCGGUGAAAUGCGUAGAGAUUGGAAAGAACACCGAUGGCGAAGGCACUUUACUGGGCUAUUACUAACACUGAGAGACGAAAGCUAGGGUAGCAAAUGGGAUUAGAUACCCCAGUAGUCCUAGCCGUAAACAAUGGAUACUAGAUGUUGAACAGA
rnacentral:rRNA from 1 species